UACGUAGGGUGCAAGCGUUGUCCGGAAUUAUUGGGCGUAAAGAGCUCGUAGGCGGUUUGUCGCGUCUGCUGUGAAAACCCGAGGCUCAACCUCGGGCCUGCAGUGGGUACGGGGCAGACUAGAGUGCGGUAGGGGAGACUGGAAUUCCUGGUGUAGCGGUGGAAUGCGCAGAUAUCAGGAGGAACACCGAUGGCGAAGGCAGGUCUCUGGGCCGCA
rnacentral:rRNA from 1 species